rnacentral:rRNA from 1 species
ACGGCUCAGUAACACGUGGAUAACCUGCCCUAAGGUGGAGGAUAACCCCGGGAAACUGGGGAUAAUACUCCAUAGAUCAGAGUAACUGGAAUGUUUUCUGGUCGAAAGUUCCGGCGCCUUAGGAUGGAUCUGCGGCCGAUUAGGUAGUUGUUGGGGUAACGGCCCAACAAGCCAGUCAUCGGUACGGGUUGUGGGAGCAAGAGCCCGGAGAUGGAAUCUGAGACACGAUUCCAGGCCCUACGGGGCGCAGCAGGCGCGAAAACUUUACAAUGCAGGAAACUGUGAUAAGGGAACCCCGAGUGCUCGUACACGCGAGCUGUCCAGGUGUGUAAAAAGCAUCUGAAGAAAGGGGCCGGGCAAGACCGGUGCCAGCCGCCGCGGUAAUACCGGCGGCUCGAGUGGUGGCCACUAUUAUUGGGCUUAAAGCGUUCGUAGCUGGACUCUUAAGUCUCCUGGGAAAUCCGCCGGCUCAACCGGCGGGCGUCCAGGAGAUACUGGGGAGUCUUGGAACCGGAAGAGGUAAGAGGUACUUCGGGGGGUAGGAGUGAAAUCCUGUAAUCCUCGAGGGGACCACCUAUGGGCGAAGGCAUCUUACCAGGACGGCUUCAACAGUGAGGAACGAAAGCUGGGGGGAGCGAACCGGAUUAGAUACCCCGGGUAGUCCCAGCCGUAAACGAUGCGCGGUAAGGGGGGUGGCUGGUGACCACGAGUCCCCAGGGUGCCGAAGGGAAACCCGUGAAACGUGCGCCCCUGGGGAAAGUACCGGUCCGCAAGGCUGAAACUUUAAAG